CUCAUAGCGUAUAUUAAGUUGUUGCAGUUAAAAAGCUCGUAGCUGAACUUCUGGCUAUUCUUCCAGCUGGCUUCGGUCGCUGUAAGAGUGGUCAUCCGCUUGGGAACUACGUUCGAACUUCACUGUUCGGCGUAAGGAACAGGCAUUUUACUUAGAAAAAAUUAGAGUGUUCAAGGCAGGCUAUCGCCCUGAAUACACAAGCUUGGAAUAAUGAAAUAGGACUACUUCCAUUUUAUUGGUUAUUGGAAUUAGUAAUGAUUAAUAGGGACAGUUGGGGACAUUAGUAUUUAAUUGUCAGAGGUGAAAUUCUUGGAUUUAUUAAAGACUAACUUAUGCGAAAGCAUUUGUCAAGGAUGUUUUCAUUAAUCAAGAACGAAAGUUAGGGGAUCAAAGACGAUCAGAUACCGUCCUAGUCUUAACUAUAAACUAUACCGACUAGGGAUUGGCCGGGUCUCUUUAACCGGGUCAGCACCUUAUGAGAAAUCAAAGUCUAUGGGUUCUGGGGGGAGUAUGGUCGCAAGGCUGAAACUUAAAGGAAUUGACGGAAGGGCACCACCAGGAGUGGAGCCUGCGGCUUAAUUUGACUCAACACGGGGAAACUUACCAGGUCAAGACAUAAGUGGGAUUGACAGAUUGAGAGCUCUUUCUUGAUUCUAUGGGUGGUGGUGCAUGGCCGUUCUUAGUUGGUGGAGUGAUUUGUCUG
rnacentral:rRNA from 1 species